rnacentral:rRNA from 1 species
UACGUAGGUGGCAAGCAUUGUCCGGAUUUAUUGGGUUUAAAGGGUGCGUAGGCGGCCCACUAAGUCAGUGCUGAAAUAUCCCGGCUUAACCGGGAGGGUGGCAUUGAUACUGGUGGGCUUGAGUACAGAUGAAGUAGGCGGAAUUGACGGUGUAGCGGUGAAAUGCAUAGAUAUCGUCAAGAACACCGAUAGCGAAGGCAGCUUACUAAGCUGUAACUGACGCUGAGGCACGAAAGUGUGGGGAUCAAACAGG